GAUGAACGCUGGCGGCGUGCCUAAUACAUGCAAGUCGAGCGAACGGACGAGAAGCUUGCUUCUCUGAUGUUAGCGGCGGACGGGUGAGUAACACGUGGAUAACCUACCUAUAAGACUGGGAUAACUUCGGGAAACCGGAGCUAAUACCGGAUAAUAUUUUGAACCGCAUGGUUCAAAAGUGAAAGACGGUCUUGCUGUCACUUAUAGAUGGAUCCGCGCUGCAUUAGCUAGUUGGUAAGGUAACGGCUUACCAAGGCAACGAUGCAUAGCCGACCUGAGAGGGGGAUCGGCCCCCCUGGAACGGGGACACCGUCCAGACUCCUACGGGAGGCAGCAGUAGGGAAUCUUACGCAAUGGGCGAAAGCCUGGCGGAGCAACGCCGCGUGAGUUAUGAAGGUCUUCGGAUCGUAAAACUCUGUUAUUAGGGAAGAACAUAUGUGUAAGGAACUGUGCACAUCUUGACGGUACCUAAUCAGAAAGCCACGGCUAACUACGUG
rnacentral:rRNA from 1 species